rnacentral:rRNA from 1 species
CACGUAGGGGGCGAGCGUUGUCCGGAAUUAUUGGGCGUAAAGAGCUCGUAGGCGGUGUGUCGCGUCGGCCGUGAAAACCUGCAGCUUAACUGUGGGCUUGCGGUCGAUACGGGCAUCACUGGAGUUCGGCAGGGGAGACUGGAAUUCCUGGUGUAGCGGUGAAAUGCGCAGAUAUCAGGAGGAACACCGGUGGCGAAGGCGGGUCUCUGGGCAGUAACUGACGCUGAGGAGCGAAAGCGUGGGGAGCGAACAGG